AUGACGGCUGCGGGAUCCCCCCCACCCCGGGAUGCAGGAACCCCCCGGAUUCGGGACGCACCCCGGGUUUCGGGGCGCCGCGGGCCACCGGUGACUCUCAGCCCCGCGCCCACGAGUGUUCGCGGUCGGGGGUGCCCUUGGAGUCCCGGCGCUGGGAGGCGACCGGGGGUUCCCCGUCCCCGCAGCUGCAGCCGCGGUGCGGUGCGGUGCGGGGAAGCAGCGGCAGCAUCGCGGCUCCGGGCCGGCAGCUCCCGGGGCUCUCCGCCGCGUCCUGGAACGCGGCCAGCUCUGCCGGUCCCUUCGCGGGGCUGCAGCAGCCUCCGGGCUCCUCCUGCACGCGGGCUGCGGCGGUGGGGCGGUGCGGGGCGGCAGCGCUGGGCUACCCGGGGCCGUGUGCCCGCAUCCCGCCCGCAGCCUACUUUCGGAGGAGCGGCGGCGAUCCCAAAAGAGCUCUGCCAAUUGCACAGGGGGAAGGCAGCCGGACAAGGUGACUGUGUCACGAGGCGCUCGGCGGUCCCCAGCUGCACCCCGAGCUUCGGCAGCUCCGUGUGUGUCCCUCUGCGCUGCGCGCGGCUUUGGUGCAGCGCUGGGAUGUCACCCGCCCUGGGACCUCAACCACCCGAGGAUGUCACCCACCCUGGGAUGUCACCCCCCCCCCCUACGAUGACACCCACCCUGCGAUGUCACUGCUGCAGGUUGCCCAGGGGCUCCCCACCCGCCCCUCUGCAGCAGCAAAACUUCUGCCUGCUGGUGCACCCAGGUGCUGCUGCAGAUUUUCCGCUCUGUGCGCGCUGUACGGGAGCGCAGCGGCCGGCAGGCGUCGUCUCCUGCCUGCUGCAUUAUCCCUCGCUAGCGCAGCGCCUCGGCCACGCUGCCGUGGGCUGCUGGGGCCCUGCGGGAUGCCCGGGGCUCUCACCUCACUAUGGGGUCAGUGCUCGUGGCUGGAGGCUGUUGCAGAGAAGCAGAGCGGCUUUGCUGGGUCGCAGCGCUGGGGGAGCGCGGGGCGCUGUGAGAGGUGAUGCACCCAAGGUCACGGAGCAGCAGGGACAUGAGCCACGCUGUUCGGGAACGGCACGAACCCAUCGGACCCCCCAGCAGCCCCACGUUCCUCUGGGAGCGAUGCUCUGCCCGCUUCUUGCAGGUGGUGAAGCACAGGGAUGGGUCUGA
rnacentral:lncRNA from 1 species